rnacentral:rRNA from 1 species
UACGAAGGGGGCUAGCGUUGCUCGGAAUCACUGGGCGUAAAGGGCGCGUAGGCGGACUCUUAAGUCGGGGGUGAAAGCCCAGGGCUCAACCCUGGAAUUGCCUUCGAUACUGAGAGUCUUGAGUUCGGAAGAGGUUGGUGGAACUGCGAGUGUAGAGGUGAAAUUCGUAGAUAUUCGCAAGAACACCAGUGGCGAAGGCGGCCAACUGGUCCGAUACUGACGCUGAGGAGCGAAAGCAUGGGGAGCGAACAGG